rnacentral:lncRNA from 1 species
GCGAAACUAACUAAGUCAAAGCGUUUCGCCAUUAGUGGAAGAAGUCUGAUGUGGAACAAGUACCAGAAGUAUACAUGCUCAAGGGGCAUCACCCGAAAUUCAAAGGCAAUUGAAUUUAAGCAACCAGGGCAUCGAAGUAGGAAAAUCGCGAAACUCACCGUGUCAAAGCGUUUCGCCGUUUUUGGAAGAAGUUUGAUGUGGAACAAGUACCAGA